AGAUACUAAGUUAGGAAGCUGAUAAGGCCUGGUCCCUGGCUUAUAAGGAACUUACAGAUCCUGGGAAAGUCAACAAUACGGACAAUUACAUUUUGAUUUCACAGAUUUCUGUGGGAGCGUGAGACCAUAGGCCUGCCACACUGAAAUGGGUCCUUCUGCUGUGUUUUAUUGUUAUCCCUGCCUGACCCCUCCUAACCUUGGAGUGCCAUUAUUUGAAGAAUCCCUCCUGAGCACAGAUCUAUGGUCUCUGAACUUCAUUUAAUUUGCAAUUUGAUUGUAACUGGGAAAGAUGAAUUUACC